rnacentral:rRNA from 1 species
AGUGAACGCUGGCGGUAGGCCUAACACAUGCAAGUCGAACGGCAGCACAGUAAGAGCUUGCUCUUACGGGUGGCGAGUGGCGGACGGGUGAGGAAUACAUCGGAAUCUACUUUUUCGUGGGGGAUAACGUAGGGAAACUUACGCUAAUACCGCAUACGACCUACGGGUGAAAGCAGGGGAUCUUCGGACCUUGCGCGAUUGAAUGAGCCGAUGUCGGAUUAGCUAGUUGGCGGGGUAAAGGCCCACCAAGGCGACGAUCCGUAGCUGGUCUGAGAGGAUGAUCAGCCACACUGGAACUGAGACACGGCCCAGACUCCUACGGGAGGCAGCAGUGGGGAAUAUUGGACAAUGGGCGCAAGCCUGAUCCAGCCAUACCGCGUGGGUGAAGAAGGCCUUCGGGUUGUAAAGCCCUUUUGUUGGGAAAGAAAAGCAGCAGGUUAAUACCCCGCUGUUCUGACGGUACCCAUAGAAUAAGCACCGGCUAACUUCGUG